rnacentral:rRNA from 1 species
GACGAACGCUGGCGGCGUGCUUAACACAUGCAAGUCGAACGGAAACGCCCUGCUUUUGUGGGGUGCUCGGGUGGCGAUCGGGUGAGUGACACGUAAGUAACCUACUCUUGUCUUUGGGAUAACUUCAGGAAAGUGGGCCUAAUACAGGACAGGAUCUCCCCUUGGAUUGAGGGGGGUGGAACUUUGCGGCGGUCGGGGAUGGACUCGCGGCUGACGGGCUAGUUGGUUGGGGGGUGGCUUACCAAGGAUUGGGCGGGUCCGCGGCCUGAGAGGGGGGCCGGCCACAUUGGGACUGAGGUACGGCCCAGACUCCUACGGUGGGCAGCAGUGGGGAACCUUGCCCAAUGGGCCGGAGCCUGAUGCAGCGACGCCGCGUUCGGGAUGACGGCCUUCGGGUUGUAAACCGCUUUCGCCUGUGACGAAGCGUGAGUGACGGUAAUGGGUAAAGAAGCACCGGCUAACUACGUG